GGGCUGCUCCUAGUACGAGAGGACCGGAGUGGACGCAUCACUGGUGUUCGGGUUGUCAUGCCAAUGGCACUGCCCGGUAGCUAAAUGCGGAAGAGAUAAGUGCUGAAAGCAUCUAAGCACGAAACUUGCCCCGAGAUGAGUUCUCCCUGACCCUUUAAGGGUCCUGAAGGAACGUUGAAGACGACGACGUUGAUAGGCCGGGUGUGUAAGCGCAGCGAUGCGUUGAGCUAACCGGUACUAAUGAACCGUGAGGCUUAACCUUACAACGCCGAAG
rnacentral:rRNA from 1 species